rnacentral:rRNA from 1 species
GGAUAACUGUGGUAAUUCUAGAGCUAAUACAUGCACCAAAGCUCCGACUUAUGGACGAGCGCAUCUAUUAGAUUAAAACCAAUCGGGCUUCGGCCCGUCAAUUGGUGACUCUGAAUAGCUAUGGCUGAUCGCAUGGUCUCGUACCGGCGACGUAUCUAUCAAGUGUCUGCCUUAUCAACUUUCGAUGGUAGUUUAUGUGCCUACCAUGGUUGUAACGGGUAACGGAGAAUAAGGGUUCGACUCCGGAGAGGGAGCCUGAGAAACGGCUACCACAUCCAAGGAAGGCAGCAGGCGCGCAAAUUACCCACUCUCGGCAUGAGGAGGUAGUGACGAAAAAUAACGAGACCGUUCUCUUUGAGGCCGGUUAUCGGAAUGGGUACAAUUUAAACCCGUUAACGAGGAUCUAUGAGAGGGCAAGUCUGGUGCCAGCAGCCGCGGUAAUUCCAGCUCUCAAAGUGUAUAUCGUCAUUGCUGCGGUUAAAAAGCUCGUAGUUGGAUCUGCGCCUCAGGACCCGGUCCGCCCAUUGGACGAGAACUGGGCUCCUAGGCUACACAAAGCUGGUUUUCCCUACGUUGCCUUCAUCGGUCGCGUAGGGUAGCUGGCAAGUUUACCUUGAAAAAAUUAGAGUGCUCAAUGCGGGCUAAUGCCUGAAUACUCGU